rnacentral:rRNA from 1 species
CUGCCAGUAGUCAUAUGCUUGUGUUAAAGAUUAAGCCAUGCAUGCCUUAGUAUAGGUGGACAAUGAACCGAGACUGCGGAUGGCUCAUUAAAUCAGUCAGAAUUAGUUUGGUGAAGCGUGGAAUGGAGAAGGAUAACCCUGUGAAUUGUAGAGCUAAUACAAGAAGAAGAUAUUUCAUGGUGGUGUGGUGAUGUCACUUGUGGUGUUGCUUUGUCACCGGUGGAAUAGCAUUUAUCAGCUCGUGUUUUCGUUUGUGUGUUUGUUUCAUGUCUUGGAAACGAGGACAGGACAUGGACGAGAAAGCGUGACGACAAUGGAGAGUGUGCUUGAGGGUGUGUGGCUCAAGAGUCCAGGAAGCAAAAGGAAAAGCAGUUUGUGGGAGUGGAUUGUGGUGACACAGUUUGCUUGGAGCAAGGAGUGGCAACGGGGACAGAUGGGUGGCACUUGAGCAUGAGGACAAGUUGUGGUCAUGGUGGAAGACAUCCGCUUGUGGAGCAACUGAAGAAGGAUAAAUAGGGGAAAGCAGCAGCACUUUGAGGCAUUGCAUGAUGUAUUAGGGGUGUUGUUGUGGAAGCCAGACAGCGAGUCGUGUUAAGCUGGAAGGGAGACCUUUCAGGACGAUGGACCAAAGAAAAGACUGACCUAUCAAGUUGAUGGUAGGAUAGGGGCCUACCAAGCUAAUAACGGGUGACGGGGAAUUAGGGUUUGAUUCCGGAGAGGGAGCCUGAGAAAUGGCUACCACUUCCAAGGAAGGCAGCAGGCGCGUAAAUUACUCAGUGCCGAAAGGGCGAGGUAGUGACGACAAAUACUGAUGUUUUCUUGGCUUUUAGCUGAGGGAGCAAUAGGAAUGAAAGCAAGACAAAGAUAUGAUAGAGUAGCAAUUGGAGGGCAAGUCUGGUGCCAGCAGCCGCGGUAAUUCCAGCUCCAAGAGUGUAUAUUAAAGCUGUUGCGAUUAAAACGCUCGUAGUUUAUAUUUUAGUUGUGUGUUGUUGUGUUUGUAUUGUUUGACAGUCACAUUGUGGUUGUAUGACAGGACACAGCAGGGCAUGACACUUGGUUCAGUUUGGAGAUUGUGCUUGGAUGGACGAUAAGGAAGAACUGGAUGGAAUACUUUGAACAAAAUAGGACGAUAGAGGUAGAUAGUUAGGUAUGAUGGAUAGAUUAGCAUAGGAUAAUGAUGGUGUAUAAGAGGCGUGUCAAAAGGGAGCACUAGGCAAGGGACAAGAAAUCUGUGGUGGUUGUGAUUGUGGGAAUGGUUUGUUGUGUGGCAGUUAGGGUGACUGAUGGAACACAUGGUGCUUUGGUUGCGAAUGGCACACAAGAAAAGAGUGAGUGGUGACACACACGGACAGACAAUGGCAACGAGGACAGAGAAAUAGGGCUUAGGUGUUCGACCUUGGUGGUAGUGUGAGUUUGGCGGAGAGACAGAAGCAGUUAGACAGACAAAGAAUAGGAACAAAAGGGGUGGUAGAUAUUUUCCUGAGAGAGGUGAAAUUCAAUGACCAGGAAAAGAUAAGCGAGAGCGAAAGCAUUCCACAAAGAUGUUUUCAUAGAUCAAGAACGAAAGUUGGGGGAUCGAAGACGAUCAGAUACCGUCGUAGUCUC